UAAAAGAUUUUCGAAAGGGUCUCUCUCUC
rnacentral:piRNA from 1 species